AAUGAACGCUGGCGGCAGGCCUAACACAUGCAAGUCGAACGAGGUAGCAAUACCUAGUGGCGGACGGGUGAGUAACGCGUGGGAACGUGCCCCUUGGUACGGAAUAGCCCUGGGAAACUGGGAGUAAUACCGUAUGUGGUCGAGAGACGAAAGAUUUAUCGCCAAGGGAUCGGCCCGCGUUGGAUUAGGUAGUUGGUGGGGUAAUGGCCUACCAAGCCGACGAUCCAUAGCUGGUUUGAGAGGAUGAUCAGCCACACUGGGACUGAGACACGGCCCAGACUCCUACGGGAGGCAGCAGUGGGGAAUCUUAGACAAUGGGGGAAACCCUGAUCUAGCCAUGCCGCGUGAUCGAUGAAGGCCUUAGGGUUGUAAAGAUCUUUCAGUGGGGAAGAUAAUGACGGUACCCACAGAAGAAGCCCCGGCUAACUCCGUGCCAGCCGCCGCGGUAA
rnacentral:rRNA from 1 species